GACAGAGGUGCCGAGCGUUAGGCGGAAUCACUGGGCUUAAAGCGCGUGUAGGCGGAGUUCUAAGUACCUUGUGAAAUCCCACGGCUUAACCGUGGAACUGCUUGGUAUACUGGUUCUCUUGGGCCAUCUAGGGGCUACUGGAACAAACGGUGGAGCGGUGAAAUGCGUAGAUAUCGUUUGGAACGCCAAUGGUGAAAACAAGUAGCUGGGGAUGUGCCGACGCUGAGACACGAAAGCCAGGGGAGCGAACGGG
rnacentral:rRNA from 1 species